rnacentral:rRNA from 1 species
AACGUAGGACGCAAGCGUUAUCCGGAGUUACUGGGCGUAAAGCGCGGGCAGGCGGCCUCGCAAGUCUGAUGUGAAAGCACUCGGCUCAACCGAGUGAUGCCAUUGGAAACUACAAGGCUGGAGUCUGGCAGAGGUAGGCGGAAUUCCGGGUGGAGUGGUGAAAUGUGUAGAGAUCGGGAGGAACACCGGUGGCGAAGGCGGGUCUCUGGGCAAUUCCUGACGCUGAGGCGCGAAAGCGUGGGGAGCAAACGGG